AGGUCAUUAGCUAUUGUUAGUGUUAGUGUAUUUUUUGUGUGGCCCAAGACAAUCUUCUUCCAGUGUGGCCCAGGGAAGCCAAAAAAUUGGACACACUUGAUGUAAACAUUUCAAGAAAAUUCAGACUAUAUGAUCACUCAAGACAGCCGAUUCACCAGCCUUCUGAAGGGAAGACUAAGCAUAUUCCUAUAUUGAAGAAGGAAAGAUAUCCAUGAUGGUGAUGCCACUAAAUAGAAGCAUCUUGGAUCUUACUAUUUGGAGUAGAACCACACAAGGAGAAGCCAUCCAACCUACAUAAGACUAUGACUGGCUUCUGACAAAAUCUAAACUGCACACUGUGG
rnacentral:lncRNA from 10 species